ACAAACCUCAAAAAUAUUGAUUUCCUUGUCUUUUUUGAAGGAUUUGCAUGCGUUUAGCGCUGUAAAAAGCAAAUAAUUUCAGAUUUUUAGAUGGUAGUGAUGGGCGAUUCUAUCGAUAAAGUAUCGAAAGCAACAGAAACUUACAAAAGUAUGAUAAAUUCAAUCAUGGUAUCGGACUGGUAUCGUGUGGAAACCAGAAACGCUGGUAUCGCCCAUCCACUAGCUAUCAGAUGCAUAGACUUUCCAAAG